GAUGAACGCUGGCGGCGUGCUUAACACAUGCAAGUCGAACAAUUAAAGCCCCUUCGGGGGUGUAUAGAGUGGCGAACGGGUGAGUAACACGUGGGCAAUCUGCCCCUCACUUCGGGAUAACUCAGGGAAACUUGAGCUAAUACCGGAUACUCCGAACUGAUCGCAUGGUCGGUUCGGGAAAGCUCCGACGGUGAGGGAUGAGCCCGCGGCCCAUUAGCUUGUUGGUAGGGUAGCGGCCUACCAAGGCGACGAUGGGUAGCCGAGCUGAGAGGCUGAGCGGCCACACUGGGACUGAGACACGGCCCAGACUCCUUCGGGAGGCAGCAGUGGGGAGUUUUGCGCAAUGGGCGAAAGCCUGACGCAGCAACGCCGCGUGCGGGAUGAAGGCUCUCGGGUCGUAAACCGCUUUCAGCAGGGAUGAAAUUGACAGUACCUGCAGAAGAAGCCCCGGCUAAAUACGUGCCAGCCGCCGCGGUAACAC
rnacentral:rRNA from 1 species